UACGGAAGGGGCAAGCGUUGUUCGGAAUCAUUGGGCGUAAAGGGCUCGUAGGCGGCCAACUAAGUCAGACGUGAAAUCCCUCGGCUUAACCGGGGAACUGCGUCUGAUACUGGAUGGCUUGAGGUUGGGAGAGGGAUGCGGAAUUCCAGGUGUAGCGGUGAAAUGCGUAGAUAUCUGGAGGAACACCGGUGGCGAAGGCGGCAUCCUGGACCGGUAUUGACGCUGAGGCGCGAAAGCCAGGGGAGCAAACGGG
rnacentral:rRNA from 1 species